rnacentral:lncRNA from 1 species
UGCAGAUUUGAACCUUUGAAAAAUAGAACAGAAUAGAUAUAGGAAGAUGUGGUAUGAGUGUCAAUGAGACAACUUUUCAUCCAAAUAACAAUUUAUAGAAGUAAACCAGUAUAGGUCAAGAUACGGCCUUCAACACGGGGCCUUGGCUCACACCGAACAGCAAGCUAUAAAGGGCCCCAGAACCUAGUAAUGUAAAACCAUUCAAACGGG